CCUACGGGUGGCAGCAGUGGGGAAUAUUGGGCAAUGGGCGCAAGCCUGACCCAGCAACGCCGCGUGAAGGAAGAAGGCUUUCGGGUUGUAAACUUCUUUUCUCAGGGACGAAGAAAGUGACGGUACCGGAGGAAUAAGCCACGGCUAACUACGGGCCAGCAGCCGCGGUAAUACGUAGGUGGCAAGCGUUAUACGGAUUUAUUGGGUGUAAAGGGCGUGUAGGCGGGAGCGCAAGUCAGAUGUGAAAACUCAGGGCUCAACCCUGAGCCUGCCUUUGAAACGGUGUUUCUUGAGUGCUGGGGAGGCAAUCGGAAUUCCGUGUGUAGCGGUGCAAUGCGUAGAUAUCCGGAGGAACACCAGUGGCGAAGGCGGCUUGCUGGACAGUAACUGACGCUGAGGCGCGAAAGCGUGGGGAGCAAACAGGAUUAGAUACCCUUGUAGUC
rnacentral:rRNA from 1 species